UUAAAUUAUCCAUAUAAACUCUGUGCACGCAACCGGGCAGAGUGUUUUUCGUUUUUCAGGUUCACUUCCAAGCGGGAAAAAUCCCGUCCAACUGGCUGCCAUCAUCUAAUCUCUCUCUUCGCCUCGAGGGAUUUCUUCUCCAGGUAUUGCAUGGUGUUUCGGGAUGUACAUCAAGAAGGUGAUCAUUGAAGGGUUCAAGAGCUACAGAGAACAAGUUUCUACAGAUCCGUUCAGCCCUAAAGUAAACUGUGUUGUUGGUGCAAAUGGAUCUGGAAAAACAAACUUUUUCCAUGCCAUACGUUUUGUGCUUAGCGAUCUGUUCCAGAAUUUGCGCAGUGAAGAUAGACAUGCCCUUCUUCAUGAGGGUGCUGGGCACCAGGUUGUAUCAGCCUUUGUGGAGAUAGUAUUUGACAAUUCUGACAACCGCAUUCCAGUUGAUAAGGAGGAGGUGCGGUUGCGGCGGACUAUUGGUCUGAAAAAGGAUGAAUACUUUUUGGAUGGGAAGCAUGUCACUAAAACAGAAGUGAUGAAUUUGCUGGAGAGUGCUGGUUUCUCUCGCUCAAAUCCAUACUAUGUUGUGCAGCAAGGGAAGAUAGCAUCUCUCACUUUAAUGAAAGACUCUGAACGUCUGGAUCUUCUUAAGGAGAUUGGGGGUACACGUGUUUAUGAGGAAAGACGGCGUGAGAGCUUGAAAAUUAUGCAAGAAACUGGUAAUAAGAGAAAGCAAAUAGAUCAGGUUGUUCGCUACUUGGAGGAGAGAUUGAGGGAACUUGAUGAAGAAAAAGAAGAGCUGAAAAAAUAUCAGCAGCUUGACAAGCAACGAAGGUCACUAGAGUAUACCAUUUUUGAUAAAGAACUUCAUGACGCGAGGCAGAAAUUAGGGGAGAUAGAAGAAGCCAGGAAGAAAGUUUCUGAGAAGUCAACCAGCAUGCACAAUAGUGUGCUAGAUGCCCAUGAAAAGCUUAAGUUAUUAGAUAAGGAAUUCAAAGUUUUCACAAAAGAGAUACAAGGAUUGAACAAAGAGAAAGAGACAAUAGAGAAGAAGCGAACCGAAGCACUAAAAGUGCACACACAGAUUGAACUUGAUUUGAGAGACCUAGAAGAGAGAAUUUCUGGGGAUGUCCGAGCCAAGGAGGAAGCUGCAAGGCAGUUGGAAAGCCUGAGAAAAGAGAUCCAGGAAUCCAGAGAUGAACUCAAUACUAUCAGGCCCUUACACCAGUCAAAAGUGGCUGAAGAGGAGGAAAUCGCUAAAGGAAUAAUGGAUCGUGAGAAGCAGCUGAGCAUUCUGUACCAAAAACAAGGCCGUGCUACCCAGUUUGCAAGUAAAGCUGCUCGGGAUAGAUGGCUGCAAAGGGAAAUUGAUGACCUUCAUCGUGUUCUUUCAUCAAAUAUGGCACAAGAGAAAAAGCUUCAGGAUGAAAUCCAGCAACUUAAAGAUGAGGAUAGUAAGUUGGGGGCAUAUAUUGAGGAGCGAAGAGCUGAAUUGAAAAGGCAGGAGCUGCUCAUCACAAAGGGCCAAGAAGAUUUUAACAGUUUAAGAGGACAGAGGGAUGAACUGCAAGAUACAAGGAAGUCUUUGUGGAAGAAAGAAACGGAUCUUUCUUCUGAAAUUGAUAGGCUUAGAGCCGAUCUUGUAAAGGCACAAAAGAGUCUGGACCAUGCUACACCUGGUGAUAUCAGAAGAGGACUAAAUUCCGUCAACAGGAUCAUCAAGGAUCACAAUAUCAAAGGAGUAUUUGGUCCGAUACUAGAAUUGAUUGAAUGUGAUGAAAAAUUUUUUACUGCUGUUGAAGUCACUGCUGGAAAUAGCUUAUUUCAUGUGGUGGUUGAAGCAGAUGAGAUAUCAACUAGGAUAAUUAGAUACCUAACUGCAGAGAAAGGUGGACGUGUGACUUUUAUACCACUAAACAGAGUGAAAGUCCCACACAUAACUUAUCCACAGAGUCCCGAUGUAGUACCUUUGUUAAAGAAAUUGAAAUUUCGUUCUGACUAUGCUCCUGCUUUUUCACAGGUGUUUGGCAGAACAGUGAUAUGUCGGGACUUGGAUGUAGCUACAAAGUUUGCUCGAACUAAUUGUCUUGAUUGCAUCACAUUGGAAGGUGACCAAGUAAGCAAGAAGGGUGGUAUGACGGGAGGAUACUAUGAUUUUAGGCGUUCAAAGCUGAAAUUUGUGAACAUAAUUAGGCAAAAUAAGUUGUCUAUCCAUGCAAAAACAGCGGAACUAGAUGAAAUUGAGAAGAAACUUAAAGAGAUAGAACAGGAAAUUAACAAGUUGGUUAGCGAACAACAGAAAAUGGAUGCACACCGUGGCCACAUCAAGUCAGAGUUGGAACAACUUAAAAAUGACAUUUCUAAUGCAACUAAGCAGAAGCAAUCAAUUGCCAUAGCUCUUGAGAAGAAGGAGAAAUUGCUUGCAAAUGCCCAUAACCAAAUCGAUCAGAUCCGAGCUGGCAUUGCAAUGAAACAAGCUGAAAUGGGCACUGAUCUUAUUGAUCAACUAACACCAGAGGAAAAAGAUCUUCUUUCUCGGUUAAAUCCUGAAAUUACAGAAUUGAAAGAAAAGCUUCUGUCUUGCAAAACUAGUCGAAUGGAUAUUGAGGCAAGAAAAGAGGAGCUUGAGACAAAUUUGUCCACAAACCUUGUGAGACGACAGCAGGAGUUGGAAGCCAUUAUUUUAUCUGCAGAUUCUGACAACUUGCCCAUGGAAGCCGGAGCGAAAAGGCAGGAAUUAAAGAACUCUAAAGCAACUAUUAAUGAAUUGACACAGCAGCUCAAAGCUGCUGUGGAAAAUAUAGAUAGUCUUACAAAGAAAACACGGGAAAUAAGAAAUUCAAAAGAAAAACUAAAGACGCUUGAAGAGAACUAUGAGAGGACACUUCAAGAUGAAGCAAAAGAUUUGGAACAGUUGUUGAACAAAAGGAAUAUACUUCUUGCCAAACAAGAGGAUUGCAUGAAAAAAAUUCGAGAUUUGGGUUCCUUACCAUCUGAUGCUUUUGAAAUAUAUAAAAGGAAAAGCACGAAAGAAUUACAGAAGAUGCUUCAUAAGUGCAAUGAGCAGCUGACACAGUUUAGCCAUGUCAACAAGAAGGCUCUUGACCAAUACAUGAACUUCACGGAGCAACGCGAACAACUGCAGAAUAGACGAGCUGAACUUGAUGCAGGUGACCAGAAAAUUAGAGAAUUGAUUUCAGUUUUGGAUCAACGGAAGGAUGAAUCUAUUGAACGCACAUUCAAAGGUGUAGCAAGGCAUUUUCGAGAAGUAUUUUCUGAACUUGUGCAAGGUGGUCAUGGCUACCUGGUUAUGAUGAAGAAAAAGGAUGGUGAACUUGGUGAUGAUGAUCAUGAUGAGGAUGGGCCCCGUGAUCCAGAUCCUGAAGGAAGAGUUGAGAAAUACAUUGGUGUUAAAGUGAAGGUUUCUUUUACCGGCCAAGGAGAAACUCAAUCAAUGAAACAAUUGUCAGGUGGUCAGAAAACUGUCGUGGCAUUGACACUGAUUUUUGCCAUCCAACGGUGUGAUCCUGCUCCAUUUUAUCUGUUUGAUGAGAUUGAUGCAGCAUUAGAUCCUCAAUACAGAACUGCUGUUGGAAAUAUGAUCCGCCGUCUAGCUGACAUGGCAAAUACUCAGUUCAUAACCACCACAUUCCGGCCAGAGCUUGUGAAAGUUGCAGACAAGAUUUAUGGUGUGACACACAAGAACAGAGUUAGCCAUGUCAAUGUGGUUUCAAAGGAUCAGGCUCUUGAUUUCAUUGAGCAUGACCAGACACACAAUACUGACUAAUCUGCUUGAUCCAGUCACAGGCAGGCUUUCUGAAAGCCGAAUUCCACGACCUGGAAUGCUCUGUUUAACUGCAUGUUUGCCCAUGUGCAUGUUGGUGGCGGUUGACUGUUGUAAGAUUAAACAUGUAUGACCUUUAAGGGAAAUCUGUGGUUGUGAGACAUCUUGGGUCUUACCUGGCUUUUGGCAUUGGAAGUUUUCGUGGAUUGCUAAUUUUGAUCUCAGCUUUUUAUUCAAGGAUUUAUAAUAUGUUGGGCCUC